rnacentral:rRNA from 1 species
UUAAUUUGACCCAUUUACAAGAAGAACUUUAGCGGGACUUUUAUCUUGCCCCUCUUUGACCCCAGAUCGGGAACCUGGUGGAAACCCGGGGGUCAGGUGGUGCAUGGUUUUCAUUCCAGGCUCGUGUCCGUUGAAGGAAAUGUUGGGUUAAGUCCCAAUAAAACCGGAGCGCGAACCCUUAUUGCUUUAGUUUGGCUAACUUGUUUUACAAGGGCAAUCUAGGCAGAAUGCCGCAGAUAAUGCGGAGGAAGGUGGGGAUGACGUCAAAUCAUCAUGCCCCUAACGUCCCGGGGCUACACACGUGCUACAAUGGCCUGUACAGAGGGUAGCGAAAGAGCAAUUUUGAGCCAAUCCCUUAAAGCAGGUCUCAGUUCGGAUUGGAGGCUGCAACUCGCCUCC